CGGGAGUGCGCCACAAUGGGCGUACAAAGGCGACGGGGACCAGGAAGCCGGUGCGAAUCCGGCACGGUCCCGCCACUGUGACCGGUGAGCGGACCCCACAAUGCGGCCACGGCCCGCGAGAGCGGGCGGGAAGGCCGGGGCGAGCGUCGAUCCGGGAGUCAGGAGACUGGCCCGUCGCGUCCGCCUACCA
rnacentral:ncRNA from 22 species